rnacentral:rRNA from 1 species
AUUUACCACCAUACCCCUUGAUCCAACCCAGUUUCAUCUGAUUUCAUAAGCUAAGCAAGGUCAGGCCUGGUUAGUGCUUGGAUGGGAGAUCACUAGGGAAUAUUGGGAUUC